GACGAACGCUGGCGGCGUGCUUAACACAUGCAAGUCGAACGGAGAGGCCCUGCUUUUGUGGGGUGCUCGAGUGGCGAACGGGUGAGUAACACGUGAGUAACCUGCCCUUGACUUUGGGAUAACUUCAGGAAACUGGGGCUAAUACCGGAUAGGAGCUCCUGCUGCAUGGUGGGGGUUGGAAAGUUUCGGCGGUUGGGGAUGGACUCGCGGCUUAUCAGCUUGUUGGUGGGGUAGUGGCUUACCAAGGCUUUGACGGGUAGCCGGCCUGAGAGGGUGACCGGCCACAUUGGGACUGAGAUACGGCGCAGACUCCUACGGGAGGCAGCAGUGGGGAAUAUUGCACAAUGGGCGGAAGCCUGAUGCAGCAACGCCGCGUGCGGGAUGACGGCCUUCGGGUUGUAAACCGCUUUCGCCUGUGACGAAGCGUGAGUGACGGUAAUGGGUAAAGAAGCACCGGCUAACUACGUG
rnacentral:rRNA from 1 species